UCAGGUGGCCGCAGAGAAUAGGCCCAAGCGACUGUUUACCAAAAACAUAGGUUUCUGCUAAGUCGCAAGACGAUGUAUAGGAGCUGACGCCUGCCCGGUGCUGGAAGGUUAAGGGGAUCUGUUAGAGCAAUCGAAGCAGUGAACUUAAGCCCCAGUAAACGGCGGCCGUAACUAUAACGGUCCUAAGGUAGCGAAAUUCCUUGUCGGGUAAGUUCCGACCCGCACGAAAGGCGUAACGAUUUGGGCACUGUCUCAACAACAGACUCGGUGAAAUUGUAAUUCCGGUGAAGAUGCCGGAUACCUGCGACAGGACGGAAAGACCCCAUGGAGCUUUACUGUAGCUUGACAUUGGGUCUUGGUACUACAUGUACAGGAUAGGUGGGAGGCUUUGAAACCAGGACGCCAGUUUUGGCGGAGCCAUCCUUGGGAUACCACCCUUGUAGUACUGGGACUCUAACCAUAGGCCAUGAAUCUGGUCUUGGGACACUGUCAGGUGGGCAGUUUGACUGGGGCGGUCGCCUCCCAAAAGGUAACGGAGGCGCGCAAAGGUUCUCUCAGUACGGUCGGAAAUCGUACGUAGAGGUUAAAGGCAAAAGAGAGCUUGAUUGCAAGACAUACAGGUCGAGCAAGGAUGAAAAUCGGACUUAGUGAUCCGGUGGGUCUGCGUGGAAGGGCCAUCGCUCAACGGAUAAAAGCUACCCUGGGGAUAACAGGCUUAUCUCCCCCAAGAGUCCACAUCGACGGGGAGGUUUGGCACCUCGAUGUCGGCUCAUCACAUCCUGGGGCUGUAGUAGGUCCCAAGGGUUGGGCUGUUCGCCCAUUAAAGUGGUACGCGAGCUGGGUUCAGAACGUCGUGAGACAGUUCGGUCCCUAUCCGUCGCAGGCGUAGGAAAUUUGAGAAG
rnacentral:rRNA from 1 species